rnacentral:lncRNA from 1 species
AUGUGGAUGAUGCUGGUUUUGAGGAUCCAUUUGGUGCCGUAUAGCAUGAUCAGGUUGAUCCACUAGGUUACAGGUAUGUAACUAGUAGCAUUAAUUUUAUAUGAUAAAUGAUUGCAUCUUUUUACAUAAUAAUAUAGUGGCUUUAUUUUGGACAAGUAGAGGACUCGACUGACUGGUGCUAGCAAUCUGAUGGUACACACAGUCA